AGCGAACGCUGGCGGCAGGCUUAACACAUGCAAGUCGAGCGGGCACUUUCGGGUGUCAGCGACGGCCGGGUGCGUAACGCGUGGGAACGUGCCCUCUGGUUCGGAAUAACUCAGGGAAACUUGAGCUAAUACCGGAUACGCCCUUUUGGGGAAAGGCUUGCUGCCGGAGGAUCGGCCCGCGUCUGAUUAGCUAGUUGGUGAGGUAACGGCUCACCAAGGCGACGAUCAGUAGCUGGUCUGAGAGGAUGAUCAGCCACACUGGGACUGAGACACGGCCCAGACUCCUACGGGAGGCAGCAGUGGGGAAUAUUGGACAAGGGGCGCAAGCCUGAUCCAGCCAUGCCGCGUGAGUGAUGAAGGCCUUAGGGUUGUAAAGCUCUUUUAUCCGGGACGAUAAUGACGGUACCGGAGGAAUAAGCCCCGGCUAACUUCGUG
rnacentral:rRNA from 1 species